rnacentral:rRNA from 1 species
ACGAACGCUGGCGGCGUGCUUAACACAUGCAAGUCGAACGGAAAGGCCCUGCUUUUGUGGGGUGCUCGAGUGGCGAACGGGUGAGUAACACGUGAGUAACCUGCCCUUGACUUUGGGAUAACUUCAGGAAACUGGGGCUAAUACCGGAUAGGAGCUCCUGCUGCAUGGUGGGGGUUGGAAAGUUUCGGCGGUUGGGGAUGGACUCGCGGCUUAUCAGCUGGUUGGUGGGGUAGUGGCUUACCAAGGCUUUGACGGGUAGCCGGCCUGAGAGGGUGACCGGCCACAUUGGGACUGAGAUACGGCCCAGACUCCUACGGGAGGCAGCAGUGGGGAAUAUUGCACAAUGGGCGGAAGCCUGAUGCAGCAACGCCGCGUGCGGGAUGACGGCCUUCGGGUUGUAAACCGCUUUCGCCUGUGACGAAGCGUGAGUGACGGUAAUGGGUAAAGAAGCACCGGCUAACUACGUG